GAAGAUCCGGCGCAGCUAAAGUCAGUGGAAGGUAGAAAGACGCCACAGCCGCCUUUCGACAACUUUUUGUUACAAAAGUGGAGAUCUACACGGAGGCGACGGCCUAGGUCGCUCUGACAGGACCCAACGACCCUCCUGACGCGUCCACCCGUCCUCGCUAGCAGGGUCCCCCAGCGGGCUCUCGACCUGCGCCACCAGAGUUCCACUCUUUUUGUCGACAAUAAUAUGGCGCCCAAACACGUGGGGCCUCAGAGAAGACUCUGGAUCCGGAAGGAGUAUCCCAAAACCAGAGCUAAGGUACCAGCUGGAGCCCACUGAAGCCUCACCGAGUUUGGGCUUCUCCUCCUGUGGAACUGGAAACCAAAAUCAUGGUAUUUUGAAAACCAGAGGUAUGAAUCUCCCUCGUUUGGCAUCCCACUGGGCCUGGACCUGUUUCACUGCUAAUGUUCUGCUGCCAAAACUAUACAAGCUGCCUGGACUAUUGCAGAAGAGAGACAGAGUCUUGCUCUGUUGCCCAGAAUGGAAUGCAGUAGCACAAUCCUAACUAAUCGUAACCUUGAACUCCUGGGUUCAAGCGAUCCUCCUGCCUCAGCCUCCUCAGUAUAGGACUACAGGCGUGCCCAGGAAGAAUGAGGACAAUAGACCAAUGGAUACAGGAUGGUGCCUGUGAAGUACAUCUACAGAGAAAUCCUCUCUAGCAAGGCUCAUCCAGGACACCUACCUGCAUUUUUCCAUCAAGGUUGAAACAAACACUGCUUGUUCGCAAAGGAGUAGACAUUUACUCCAAAAAUAUAUUUGCCUUCCUUGCCUGAAAUGCUUCUGCCAAACCCACCAUCUGUGAACUUGAGGAAUGCCUUACUCAUGAUCAUGUUAUUACAUACUCCUGACCAAGGAAUUCAUUUUACCAAACAUAAAGUGCAGAGAUACUCAUGAAAUGUAUUGCUCUUAUCAUGAUCUUCAUCACUCUAAAGCAACUGGCCUGAAACAAAGGUGAAAUGAGCUUUUGAAGCGUCAACUGAGUGACUAAAUUUUGUGAAGCUAGGAUAACAUUCUCCACAAUGUGGCAUAUGGCCUCCAUCAGCAACCAAUCUAUGACCCUGUUUCUCUCAUAGUCGAGAUUCAUAAAUCCAGAAAACAAAGGAUAAACAGGAGUGACUCUUCUUACUGUUACUCCUAAAGAUAUAGUUACAUGCUAUUACUGCCCAUUCUCAACACCUUUGGACUCUGCUGGCCUAGAAGUCUUAGUUUUCAAGGGAUAAAUGUUUCUACAAAGGUCUAUAGCAAUAGUUUCAUUAAACCCAAAGCCAAGACUCUUAGCUGGCGUCUUUGGGCUCCUCAUAUUCAACAGACAAAAAGAGCACUGGUGUUUGGCCUGAGGUGAUGGAUUCUGAUUAUCUAGAAUAAAUCGGGCUGCUAACACACAAUGGGAAUAAAGAAAAGUAUGUCCGGAAAGCAGGUGGUCCUCUGGGUUACCUCUUAAUAUUCCCAUUCCCAGUGAGUAAAGCCACUGGAAAAUGAAAACAAUCUAAUACAUGGGGGACUCUCAUGGCUUAGACCUGUGGCCCCCAACCUUUUUGGCACCAGGGACCAGAUUUGUGGAAGAUACUGUUUCAGUGGACUUAUGGGGUGGGAGAUGGUUUUGGGAUGAAACUGUUCCACCUCAUAUCAUCAGGCAUUAGAGUGUCACAAGGAGUAUGCAACCUGGAUCCCUCACAUGUGCAGUUCACAAUAGGGUUUGCAAUCCUAUGAGAAUCUAAUGCCGCCACCGAUCUGACAGGAGGCAAAGCUCAAGCGGUAGUGCUUGCCUGCCACUCACCUCGUGCUGUGUGUCCCAGUUCCUAACAGGCCAUGGACCAGGGGUUGAGGACCCCGGCCUACACCAAAUUAUAACAAGCUUAAGACAAAGAGUAGUAGAAAAAGGUAAUUAUAAAUACUAUGCAUGACCAUAUGACCAGUGGCAGAAAUGAGCACUGUAAUACUUAUGAAUGUUUUCCUUAUUUUAAUAUGCAAAUACUUGUGUGUAUAUUAAUUUUUUUUUCUCUUUUCCUUUUACAUUUGCCUAACAUCUAACAUAAAAAGUAUUAAAAGUAAUUAAUCUUGUAUGAUAGCGUUUAAUUUGUAAGAUAUCAAAGAAGGAAUGUGACUCAGGUAGAAGGGUAAUAAAAGUCACUCAAGAGGCCUGGCGUGGUGGCUCACACCUGUAAUCCCACCACUUUGGUCAAGGCUGGUGAGGCGGGUGGAUCACGAGGUCAGGAGACAGAAACCAUCCUGGCUAACACGGUGAAACCCCGUCUCUACUAAAAAUACAAAAAAGCUGGGCGUCAUGGCAGGCGCCUGUAGUCCCAGCUACUCGGGAGACUGAGGCAGGAGAAUGGUGUGAACCCAGGAGGCAUAGCUUGCAGGGAGCCAAGAUCGCGCCACUGCACUCCAGCCUGGGCCACAAAGCAAGACUCCGUCUCAAAAAAAAAAAGUCUAGAAUGAAUAAGUAGAUUUUGUGUCUUAUUUGAGGAGAAAGUUGUACAAAGGACAAUUUCAUUAUGUUAUAGGGAAGCAUGACUUUGCUAUUGUCUUAAGGUAGAAGUUAUGUUAAGUGCAGUUAACAGAGUUGUACAUAAAUAUGACAUUGACAGGGAGAAUUAUAGUGGGAUUGUAUUGUGCCAGUUUAACAAAGAUAGAAGUACAUUUCCCAGAAAUCCCUUCCCUUUAUCAUUCUGGUUUAGUGUGAACCAGAUGUUUUUGGUAAAUAUUAGAGGCUAGUAGUGAAAUAACAGUUGUCUUUUUACAUUCAAGAGGCCAAAUGAGGUCACCAGGCAUGAGGAAGUUUUUGUGUUCUUUUGUAAAAACCUGGAAAUCUGAAGUUAAAUAUGCGUAUCAGAUUAUUAUUCUCAUACACUGUACAAUUCAAAGAAAUGAUAUUUCAUCAAUUUUAAGAAAACAAAAUACUGUGAAUUUUGUCAUUAUUAAACCAAAUAUGAUGCCUGUACAGCUGUAGAAAACACAUUUUAGUGGGAACUGACAAAAGCCAAUUACUUCAUUUCAUUAAAAAACCAUAUACCUUUUCUUACCAUUUAAAAAAAUGCAAGAAUGAUCAUUUUAUAAAUAUUCUAUGAAUCAUCAAUCCUACCAUUUUAAAGUAGUUUGUAAUUUAGAAAGUUAGUUUAGUGUUUAAGUAUUUCUUAAAUUUUAAGCCCUAUUUCCAUUAUCAUUAUUAGUUUUUGCAUCCUACUUUGGAAAAACUAAUAUGUUUUAAAGAAUUCUAUCCUUACACUGGCCAUUCAAACAACAAAAUUUUUUCAACAUUUUGAUUUAUUUUUUCCUCUCUAAGUAUGUCACCCUGGAUAAAAAUGCUAUUAAUGUCCAGAUUAAGGCAUAAAAGUAUGGACUUGGCACCUGAUAGCAGUUAUCUUUUCCAGUUCAAAAUUAUAUUCCCUUCUAAAUUUGCAUUAUAGUGUGAACAAAUGGACAGUCAGCCAAUAAAUGGUUUGUUAUUGUAUUUAUAAUCUUAGAAAGCACAAUGAUCCCAUAAAUUUAAAUUUGACAUUCUUGGGCAACAGCUGAAAUCUGUUCACUUGUCAAUAAUGUUAUCAUUAUAUGGAAGCUAUACAAUUCAGAUAAGACAAAGAUGGUAUAACACAGAGAAAAGCCUGGAAGACAAUUAUAGUGACACACUUUUUAAAAUCAGAAAACAAAAAAUAAGUUGUUUGAUGAAACAGUCAAAUAAGACAUUGUGACUUAUUGUCACAAUAUUUAAAAACCAUCUUUAAAUAUCAAAUGAAAUUUUACUUUGGGGAACAUGCCUUUAUAUCUUUUUAAAAUUAUAUUUUGCCACUUGCUUUAGCAGGUAACAAUACAAGUUGUAAUUAUACAUAGCAAAUUAAAAAUUUGAGAAAAUAAGACUUGAACUUAAGAUUCUAAUCUGUGUUAGUACAUUCAUUUAUUGAAAAUUAUGUUCGAUUUCUCUUUCAGUUGGCAAAAGUAUGUGGUGAAGCGAUG
rnacentral:lncRNA from 10 species